CCUACGGGUGGCAGCAGUGAGGAAUAUUGGUCAAUGGCCGAGAGGCUGAACCAGCCAAGUCGCGUGAGGGAAGACGGCCCUACGGGUUGUAAACCUCUUUUGUCGGGGAGCAAAGCGAGUCACGUGUGCCUCUUUGAGAGUACCCGAAGAAAAAGCAUCGGCUAACUCCGUGCCAGCAGCCGCGGUAAUACGGAGGAUGCGAGCGUUAUCCGGAUUUAGUGGGUUUAAAGGGUGCGCAGGCGGAGGUGCAAGUCAGCGGUCAAAGUGCGGGGCUCAACCCCGUACUGCCGUUGAAACUGCAUCCCUUGAGUGCGCGAGAAGUAUGCGGAAUGCGUGGUGUAGCGGUGAAAUGCAUAGAUAUCACGAAGAACUCCGAUUGCGAAGGCAGCUCACUGGACUGCAACUGACACUGAGGCUCGAAAGUGUGGGUAUCAAACAGGAUUAGAUACCCGGGUAGUC
rnacentral:rRNA from 1 species